rnacentral:rRNA from 1 species
AUUGAACGCUGGCGGCAUGCUUUACACAUGCAAGUCGAACGGUAACAGGUCUUCGGAUGCUGACGAGUGGCGAACGGGUGAGUAAUACAUCGGAACAUGCCUAGUUGUGGGGGACAACUACUCGAAAGAGUAGCUAAUACCGCAUGAUAUCUACGGAUGAAAGCAGGGGACCCUCGGGCCUUGCGCAACUAGAGUGGCCGAUGGCAGAUUAGGUAGUUGGUGGGGUACAGGCGCACCAAGCCUGCGAUCUGUAGCUGGUCUGAGAGGACGACCAGCCACACUGGGACUGAGACACGGCCCAGACUCCUACGGGAGGCAGCAGUGGGGAAUUUUGGACAAUGGGCGAAAGCCUGAUCCAGCAAUGCCGCGUGCAGGAUGAAGGCCUUCGGGUUGUAAACUGCUUUUGUACAGAACGAAAAGCUUUGGGUUAAUACCCUGGAGUGAUGACGGUACUGUAAGAAUAAGCACCGGCUAACUACGUGCCAGCCGCCGCUGUAACAC